rnacentral:rRNA from 1 species
AUUGAACGCUGGCGGCAGGCUUAACACAUGCAAGUCGAGCGGGGUGAUGGUGCUUGCACUAUCACUUAGCGGCGGACGGGUGAGUAAUGCUUAGGAAUCUGCCUAUUAGUGGGGGACAACAUCUCGAAAGGGAUGCUAAUACCGCAUACGUCCUACGGGAGAAAGCAGGGGAUCACUUGUGACCUUGCGCUAAUAGAUGAGCCUAAGUCGGAUUAGCUAGUUGGUGGGGUAAAGGCCUACCAAGGCGACGAUCUGUAGCGGGCCUGAGAGGAUGGUCCGCAACACUGGGACUGAGACACGGCCCAGACUCCUACGGGAGGCAGCAGUGGGGAAUAUUGGACAAUGGGGGGAACCCUGAUCCAGCCAUGCCGCGUGUGUGAAGAAGGCCUUAUGGUUGUAAAGCACUUUAAGCGAGGAGGAGGCUCUUUUGGUUAAUACCCAAGAUGAGUGGACGUUACUCGCAGAAUAAGCACCGGCUAACUCUGUGCCAGCAGCCGCCGUAA